rnacentral:lncRNA from 1 species
AUGGCUCCUACAAAGUAGACUGCUCACAAAUCGAAAGAUGGUAAGGCACCCAGGAAGCAAGGAGCUACCAAAGUUGCUCACAAGAGUUCGCCCUCUACUGGAGGAAUGAAAAGACCUCAUCGUUUCAGGCCUGGUAUUCUCCUUGAAAUUAUACUUUAUCCAAGUCCACUGAAUUUCUGAUUCGCAGACUUCCCUUCCAGUGUGUGGUGGCUCAGGACUUUAAAACAGAUCUACGCUUCCAGAGCCCAGCUAUUGGUGUUUUGCAGGAGGCAAUUAAAGUCUAUCUGGUUAGCCUUUUUGAAGCUACCAACCUGUGUGCUAUUUAUCCAUGCCACAUGUGUAACAAUUACACCAAAAGACAAUCAACUAGUACACUACACAUGUGGAGAACGUGCUUAA